UACGUAGGUGGCGAGCGUUGUCCGGAUUUACUGGGCGUAAAGGGAGCGUAGGCGGACUUUUAAGUGAGAUGUGAAAUACUCGGGCUCAACUUGAGUGCUGCAUUUCAAACUGGAAGUCUAGAGUGCAGGAGAGGAGAAUGGAAUUCCUAGUGUAGCGGUGAAAUGCGUAGAGAUUAGGAGGAACACCAGUGGCGAAGGCGGUCUGCUGGACAGCAACUGACGCUGAGGCGCGAAAGCGUGGGGAGCAAACAGG
rnacentral:rRNA from 1 species